rnacentral:rRNA from 1 species
AGUUUGAUCAUGGCUCAGAUUGACACGCUGGCUGCAGGCCUAACACAUGCAAGUCGAGCGGCAGCACAAGGGAGUUUACUCCUGAGUGUGGCGAGCGGCGGACGGGUGAGUAAUGCCUAGGGAUCUGCCCAGUCGAGGGGGAUAACAGUUGGAAACGACUGCUAAUACCGCAUACGCCCUACGGGGGAAAGAGGGGGACCUUCGGGCCUCUCGCGAUUGGAUGAACCUAGGUGGGAUUAGCUAGUUGGUGAGGUAAUGGCUCACCAAGGCGACGAUCCCUAGCUGUUCUGAGAGGAUGAUCAGCCACACUGGG